GAUGAACGCUGGCGGCGUGCUUAACACAUGCAAGUCGAACGGUGAAAGCGGAGCUUGCUCCGCUGGAUCAGUGGCGAACGGGUGAGUAACACGUGGGCAACCUGCCCCUCACUUCGGGAUAACUCCGGGAAACCGGGGCUAAUACCGGAUAUGACCUCCUUGGGCAUCCUUGGAGGUGGAAAGUUUUUCGGUGAGGGAUGGGCCCGCGGCCUAUCAGCUUGUUGGUGAGGUAGUGGCCCACCAAGGCGACGACGGGUAGCCGGCCUGAGAGGGCGACCGGCCACACUGGGACUGGGACACGGCCCAGACUCCGACGGGAGGCAGCAGUGGGGAAUAUCGCGCAAUGGGCGAAAGCCUGACGCAGCAACGCCGCGUGCGGGAUGACGGCCUUCGGGUUGUAAACCGCUUUCAGCAGGGAAGAAGCCGCAAGGUGACGGUACCUGCAGAAGAAGCACCGGCUAACUACGUGCCAGCAGCCGCGGUAA
rnacentral:rRNA from 1 species